UUUCGCAAUGCCCGAAAGGGUGACGAAGCGACGCCGCGCGGGAAGAAGGCCUUCGGGUUGUAAACCGCUGUCGGGAGUUAAGAAAUGCAAGGGUGUUAACAGCAUCCUUGCUUGACUAAGGCUCCGGAGGAAGCCACGGCUAACUCUGUGCCAGCAGCCGCGGUAAUACAGAGGCGGCAAGCGUUGUUCGGAAUUAUUGGCGUAAAGAGCACGUAGGCGGCUGUGUAAGUCGGUUGUGAAAGCCUUCCGCUCAACGGGAGAACGGCAUCCGAUACUGCACGGCUUGAGUGCGGGAGGGGAGAGUGGAACUUCUGGUGGAGCGGUGAAAUGCGUAGAUAUCAGAAGGAACACCGGCGGCGAAGGCGACUCUCUGGCCCGUAACUGACGCUGAGUGUGCGAAAGCUAGGGGAGCAAACGGGAUUAGAUACCCCGGUAGUCCUAGCCGUAAACGAUGGGCACUAAGUAGAGGG
rnacentral:rRNA from 1 species